AUUGAACGCUGGCGGCAUGCCUUACACAUGCAAGUCGAACGGUAACAGGUCUUCGGAUGCUGACGAGUGGCGAACGGGUGAGUAAUACAUCGGAACGUGCCCGAACGUGGGGGAUAACGAGGCGAAAGCUUUGCUAAUACCGCAUACGAUCUAAGGAUGAAAGCGGGGGAUCUUCGGACCUCGGGCGGACGGAGGGGCCGAUGGCAGAUUAGGUAGCUGGUGGGAUAAAGGCUUACCAAGCCGACGAUCUGUAGCUGGUCUGAGAGGAUGAUCAGCCACACUGGAACUGAGACACGGCCCAGACUCCUACGGGAGGCAGCAGUGGGGAAUUUUGGACAAUGGGCGAAAGCCUGAUCCAGCCAUGCCGCGUGCAUGAUGAAGGCCUUUGGGUUGUAAACUGCUUUUGUACGGAACGAAAAGCCUCUUGCUAAUAAAGAGGGGUCAUGACGGUACCGUAAGAAUAAGCACCGGCUAACUACGUG
rnacentral:rRNA from 1 species